rnacentral:rRNA from 1 species
UGAGGAAUUUUGCGCAAUGGCCGCAAGGCUGACGCAGCAACGCCGCGUGGGUGAAGAAGGCCUUCGGGUCGUAAAGCCCUGUCAGGUGGGAAGAAAGGCUUGGUUGAUAACACCGAUUGAGUUUGACGGUACCACCAGAGGAAGCACCGGCUAACUCCGUGCCAGCAGCCGCGGUAAUACGGAGGGUGCAAGCGUUAUUCGGAAUUACUGGGCGUAAAGCGCGUGUAGGCGGGGGUACAAGUCUGAUGUGAAAGCCCUGGGCUUAACCUGGGAAGUGCAUUGGAAACGGUAUCUCUUGAGUACUGGAGAGGAAGGGGGAAUUCCCGGUGUAGAGGUGAAAUUCGUAGAGAUCGGGAGGAAUACCAGUGGCGUAGGCGCCUUUCUGGACGGUUACUGACGCUGAGACGCGAAAGCGUGGGGAGCAAACAGG